AUUGAACGCUGGCGGCAGGCCUAACACAUGCAAGUCGAGCGGAUGAGGGAAGCUUGCUUCCCGAUUUAGCGGCGGACGGGUGAGUAAUGCCUAGGAAUCUGCCUAUUAGUGGGGGAUAACGUUCCGAAAGGAACGCUAAUACCGCAUACGUCCUACGGGAGAAAGUGGGGGAUCUUCGGACCUCACGCUAAUAGAUGAGCCUAGGUCGGAUUAGCUAGUUGGUGGGGUAACGGCUCACCAAGGCGACGAUCCGUAGCUGGUCUGAGAGGAUGAGCAGGCACACUGGAACUGAGACACGGUCCAGACUCCUACGGGAGGCAGCAGUGGGGAAUAUUGGACAAUGGGCGAAAGCCUGAUCCAGCCAUGCCGCGUGUGUGAAGAAGGUCUUCGGAUUGUAAAGCACUUUAAGUUGGGAGGAAGGGUUGUAAGCUAAUAUCUUGCAGCUUUGACGUUACCAACAGAAUAAGCACCGGCUAACUCUGUGCCAGCCGCCGCCGUAACAC
rnacentral:rRNA from 1 species